rnacentral:lncRNA from 7 species
GGGCAGAGCGGGCCGUGCGGGCGGGGGAGCAGCGCGGAGCUGACGGCAGGCUCUGAUGCCACGGGCCGGGCACUGCGCUCCGGGCCGAGAGAGGGGAACCCGAAAUCGGAACGCCCAGAACCGACGGCAGAAAGCGGGAACUUACCGAAACUCAGCACGCAGCCCAUGGCAGCCAGCAGCAGUGGGGAAACUGAGGCACAGCGUGGCUGACAGCUCCGUGACCGGUGCUGAGCACUCAGCAGGGAUGGGUGCACCACCGGGGCUGACCUGCAAUCAAUCACAGUUCAUGUCCCUUCAGCAUCGCAGGGCUGGGUUAUUUCUGGCUCCUCGUGGCCUCAGAGCCCUCUCGGUGCUGGGACGUGCACAUGGCUGAAGUCAAAGGGCAACAUGGGCCUACAUGGCCUGGGAGUGGGACUCACAGCCCAAGGCCGUCGGGAUGUGCAGCGGGAUGGGAUCAGGGCUGACUUUCUGUUCUGGAACCCCCAGCCAUGCAUCCACCUUGCGAUGGGCAGUGUGAGUGCUGAGCUCCGGAUGGAAGAAGACAGCAGCAGCUGCCUGGACUGCACUCACAGAGCGGCUGCAUUUCUUCCCCCUGAGCCGUAAAUCGCGGGCUGGGGCCGGCGGCAUCCCUCUCGUGGUCGCCCCGGGAUGAGUUACGAGGAGAGAGCUCCGCAGCCAGGGCUUUGCUCCAGGGCCCUCCCAAGAGCCAUUCUCCUCCUUUUUCCACCCCAAACCACACUGCUGCCCCACUGGGGUCUCUCCAGCCCCACUGCAGGACCCCACGCUCCCGGCGCUCCUCCGCUCCCCGUCCUCCCGCGGCCGCGGCGAGCGGGCAGAUGUCUUGCUGACAGCUUCAGGAACACCUUGUAGCAGUUGCGGUGAUUCCUGAGAUCCAUUGCUUCCCAUUUCAAUUCACACAUCAUGAUUUCUAAACCUCAGCCCGCACCUUCCCUUCACAGCUCCCUACCUCCAGCCCGCCAGCACUGGGAGCGAUGGUGAUGGGGACACAGGGAAGGGGACCCGGUUCAUCCUUGCCUGACCACCACCUCCCGCCAUGCCAUGCCUUAGGGAGAGCCCCACACCCCGCCAAAAAAAUAGGCACAAUCAGCAAAAUGCGGGCUGGGAGGCACCUGGAGGGCAGUGAGGGGACGGUGCUCCUUUCUGGGGACCCAGGGCUGAGCCGCUGUGUUCCCCUAUGCUGUGUGGCUGUGGUAGAGGCUUGGCCUCGGGGUGAUAAAAGCGGCGUGUUUUUCCAAUUAGAAGAGCCAAAUGUCUUUUCCUGCCAGCAUUCAGCCCAGCCUAACAUGCGAUGUCUACAUCUUAACCUUGAAGAAGCCUCCAGAGACGCUGCUAAAUAAAUCAACGCGGCUCCACGUGCUGGAAAACAGAACCAAUAAAUAACUUC